rnacentral:lncRNA from 1 species
GGCGACCACGGAGCUUUUGCCUAAAUUUUAGACUCUUAACAGUGCUGCGGGCCACGGCGGGGACCCAACCCCUGGUGGAGGGCGUUUUCAUCACACCUCUCGUGUGUAGUUUUGUUUGUAGUAGCACGGGUGUGUUUAGUUUGUUUAUCUCCCCUAAUUGAGUUUUACCUGCCGGUGGGGCCCCAGCCCUGUCCACCCCCUUUUGUUUGACUUUUGUACAGCCGAGUUAUUUUGGUGUUGAGUUGGAUCUAAUAAAAUUGUACUGCCUAACCCUCAACCCUGUCUCUGCCUCUGGAACCGAACCGUAUCUGCGCGUGCCUGUUUCCGGUUAAUUCCUGGGGUGAAAUUCCCCAGGUGGCGUUGUCGUUGACCGUUCCACCUCUCUCCACCCCGCCACACAUGUAUUUGAUGAUGAUCCCACAGGACAAACAGCGAUGCAGUUGUGUGCAAGAGCUUUAA